rnacentral:tRNA from 1 species
ACCUGGCUGGCUCAGUCAGUAGAGCAUGUGACUCUUAAUCUUGGGGUUGUGAGUUCAAGCCCCAUGUUGGGCA